rnacentral:rRNA from 1 species
UAGUACGGCGAGUGAGCGGGAUGAGCUCAAAGUCUUAAAAUCUGCGCUGCAAUCUUUUGCAUGGCGAAUUGUACUCUAUAGAGGCUUGAUUAGCGUACGCACUUGGGGCAAGUUCCUUGGAAGAGGACAGCAUUGAGGGUGAUACUCCCGUUCCCUCCCGAGUUGCUUAUGCGUAUAAUCCGUUUUCUUUGAGUCGCGUUGUUUGAGAAUGCAGCGCAAAGUAGGUGGUAAAUUCCAUCUAAAGCUAAAUAUUGGUGCGAGACCGAUAGCAAACAAGUACCGUGAGGGAAAGAUGAAAAUAACUUUGAAAAGAGAGUUAAAGAGUACCUGAUACUGCUGAAAGGGAACCAAAUCGUUUCCAGUAUCUAUAAUCCGCGGUAUAUUUCAUUGGCGAAUGUGUGCGUGCAUGUACUAUGGCAGCGGCUUUUUGCUGCGCCUUGUGUGUGUUUCGCAUUUUCUCGCUGGUGCCCUGUACUGUGGUGGGACGUCAAUGUCGGUUCGUAUGCUGCGGGAAAUGACUGCCGAGGAGGUAGGGCGAACGCUUGCGUUUGUCUGUACAAUCUGGGCGGACUUAGUAGUCGUGGUUGGGACUGAGGGUGCCUAUAAUGUGCUUAUGAGUGGGAUCGAAUCUCCAUGUGCGCCGUGUGCGGAUAGCUUGCUAUGCGUGUGUAGCUGUGUGUGGAUUGAGUCGAGACGUAACUUAUUGCCGUUCGGGACGUUGACGAAAUGGAGCGAUUUGACCCGUCUG